rnacentral:lncRNA from 1 species
CAACUAGAUGUGAUGGGCACGAGGAGAGGUAUAUGACUGCCCAAGAAGUAUUGGGGAGAGGAGAUCAGGCAUGACAUGACAUGACUUAGGAUUAUUGAGGACAUAGCCCUUGACAGGGAGUUGUGGAGGUCGAGCAUUAAGGUUGUAUGUUCUGAGGUAGUUGUGAAUAUUUCUUCGGCGCAUCAAAGUGACACUUGCUAGUUAUGAUUUAGUCGUAGGAUAUUAAUGGUUUCACCUAAAAAUCCAAGGUUUUCAUGAUGCCAAGUUAGAUUUAGGUGUUGAUGGUUGUAGCGGCACGAGUCUUUU